AUGGAGUUAUCAAGUGUAACAGCAACUCCACGUGGACUGAAUACCGAUUUCCAGUGGAGAUGGUGUUACUUCUGAUGAUUACCAA
rnacentral:pre_miRNA from 12 species